rnacentral:tRNA from 1 species
UAUCUUUUAUUUUAAAAUUUUAAAAUUAUUUAUUUACAAUAAAUAGAUUAGCUUUAUGCUAAAAGGUAA